AGCUCCAAUAGCGUAUAUUAAAGUUGUUGCAGUUAAAAAGCUCGUAGUUGAAGUUCUGAUCGCUCAGGUCCUCAGCCUUAGGCGGGGAUUCUGACGGUCAUCCGCUUGCAAACAUAUGUUCGAUCUUCACCGGUUGGCUAUGUAAGUAAGCACUUUACCUUGAGAAAAACAGAGUGUUCCAGGCAGGUUUGUCCGGAAUGCAUUAGCAUGGAAUAAUAGAACAUGACUGAAGUCUAUUUAUUGGUUUAAGGCUUUAGUAAUGAUUAAUAGGAACAGUCGGGGGCAUUCGUACUCAGCAGUCAGAGGUGAAAUUCUAAGAUUUGCUGAAGACGAACUAAUGCGAAAGCAUUUGCCAAGGAUGUUUUCA
rnacentral:rRNA from 1 species